UGGUAAGCGUUGUCCGGAUUUAUUGGGCGUAAAGCGAGCGCAGGCGGUUCCUUAAGUCUGAUGUGAAAGCCCACGGCUCAACCGUGGAGGGUCAUUGGAAACUGGGGAACUUGAGUGCAGAAGAGGAGAGUGGAAUUCCAUGUGUAGCGGUGAAAUGCGUAGAUAUAUGGAGGAACACCAGUGGCGAAGGCGACUCUCUGGUCUGUAACUGACGCUGAGGCUCGAAAGCGUGGGUAGCAAA
rnacentral:rRNA from 1 species